UACAGAGGUCUCGAGCGUUAGGCGGAAUCACUGGGCUUAAAGCGUGUGUAGGCGGAUUGGUAAGUACCUUGUGAAAAUCCCACGGCUCAACCGUGGAACUGCUCGGUAUACUGCCUGUCUUGUGCAACCUAGGGGCGAGCGGAACAGAUGGUGGAGCGGUGAAAUGCGUAGAUAUCGGAAGGAACAUCAGUGGCGAAAGCGGCUUCCUGGUCCAGCACCGACGUUCAGGCACGAAAGCGUGGGGAGCAAACAGG
rnacentral:rRNA from 1 species